rnacentral:misc_RNA from 1 species
AAGUCGUAACAAGGUUUCCGUAGGUGAACCUGCGGAAGGAUCAUUAACACGUUUGUUAAACCAAACGUACCAAAACUCUGUGAACAGAGAUUGUGUAAACAAUCUCGCCCCCCUUUUUUUCAACUACAUCACAAACCCCAAAAAAACAAUUGAACAGGGUUUUCCCUGUUUAAUUGUCUUGUAACUAAAUUUUACUUAUUCUUUUAAGCCGUAACAAGCUUAUCAGAAACAAAAAGAUGUCUCUUUUUGAGACUUAAUCUUUUUAUGAACCAAACGUUGUACAACUCUUAGCAACGGAUAUCUUGGUUCCC